CCCGGUGGGUGGGUGUGCAAAUUGAAAACUGUUGUGUAGAUUAAACACUGAAGUUAGGUGUCAGGUUAAAAAUUUCCCCAAAAAUGGAAAUUAAAUGAAAAAUUGGUACCCAUCAUCUUUUGCGGUUCAUUAUGUGCGGAUAUGCAGGUAUUGCUGCUAUGAAUAAUAUUACUGGAACCUGCAUGAUGAUGUGUCCCCAAGCAGAGGUUAAGUGGCGUCAGCGGGAGCGGCUGAUCCACCUGCUGGAGGCUGAUGAGGCUUCAGUUCGCGGUGCGGCCGGCAGACGGCGUGCCGACCCUGAGCGCAUGGUCAAGAGUUUCCAGCGGUCGGCUGCAGGGCGGCGACUGUGUGAGCCGGCCGCCCUCCGACCGCCGGCCGUUCUGCUCCAGACCACCGACUACAUACU